rnacentral:rRNA from 1 species
CGUGCAGGCGGAUUGGAGAGUUGGAUGUGAAAGCUCCCGGCUUAACUGGGAGAGGUCGUUCAAUACUUCCAGUCUUGAGUGCAGUAGAGGGAAGUGGAAUUCCGGGUGUAGUGGUGAAAUGCGUAGAUAUCCGGAGGAACACCAGUGGCGAAAGCGGCUUCCUGGACUGUAACUGACGCUCAGACGCGAAAGCUAGGGUAGCAAACGG